GACAGACGAGGAGAGGCCUUGGGUGUGACAUCAACGGAACCUGAGGGAAGCAAAACUCAGCAAGGACGCACCCGGUCUGCUGGCCUGGGGCUUUGGGUUGGUGACGUGGACGAUGAGUCUGAUUUUGGGGCAUCCGAGCAGUUGUGCAGCGGUCAGUGGGGUGCAGGGAUGGACGUGAAGUCAACCCACGCCGGCCUCAGAGCCCCAGCGACCUGCAGGCAGGUCAGGAGCCAGAGGCUGGGGCGGGGGUGGAGGAGGCCAAGGGAGGAAGGAAAGGUCGGGGAAGCACAGGCGGGUCCCUCUUUCCAGAUUCCCUCCUUUAAGAGGGCGGGGAGAAGAAAGGCCCCAGCAGGCAGCGAGCUCAGGUGCCCUCGCCUCGCCGCCUCUUUCCUCUUCCUGUGAAGAGCGAGACAGGGGAAGGAGCAGGGCGAUUCCCCGCUGGCUCCAGGAGGUGGGGCAGCAGGGGCCUGGGAGUGAAGGCGCUGUGGGGCCCCGACAACCUCCUUUCUGCCCAGACACGAAACCCGAACCUUCCCGAACCUUCCCACACCCGCCUGUGCUGAGGUGCUGCCCCCACCUGAACAGGGAGGAGGACGGCCAAGGCCUGGGAGGCAGGAUGGAGCCUCCCUUUAGGGGAGUGAGCACUUCCUCCUGGGAAUCUGCGUGUUUCCAAGAAUCAGAACUGACCAAGAAAACUAUCCCCGAGCUCAGGAAAGCCAGGGAGAAGAGUGGCCUCCCACCUGGACCCACCCGUGUGCCAUCGCCGGGCCCGCGAUUUCCACAAGACCCAAUGGCAUGGCAGGAGAUUGCCCAAUUUCUGGUUCUUCAAUUCUUUUCCAAAAAUCCCAUUUGUUUUAUAUAUUAUUUUAUGUGGUGUGUAUGUGUGUGUAUGUUUCUGUUCCAGCUGAAAAAAUUCCGUUUACAAACAUGUCCAAAGCCUCUGUACCCAAGAGGUUGAAAAUUAAAUAAAAUAGGCGUGUCCAGCUCCCACUCUCCCGUCUGCAGGCACAACCCGAAGCCUGGAAUAAGUCACUAGCCCAUCACUGUCUCCCAAGACACGAACCUGAGACGGAAGUGCUUGGGAAGCUGCUGUGAGAGACAGAGUACCCAAGAAUGAGGCUGGGAGGCUGCUUUUUUCUGUCAUGUUCACCCCCGACAUGCACGCGUCCGUGUGUGCUCGCUCGCGCGCUCUCUGUCAACAAAACCUCCCCCAGCGUCUUUCCUGGUGACUCCCGACUGCUUCUGCCCCCUCCCCAUGGACCAGUUUCUCUCCCGUUCACAGCAUCCUAGCCCACCCCAGUCUCCCAACUUUCUUGAAAGGGGACUGACGGUGCCUAGAGCCUUGGAGAGGACACAGGGAAAGAACUCUCCUCCUGAAUUUUGACUUUGUGCCCAGAAGCACAGGUUUUGGAGAGAAUCAAGUCACAGCCUCGUCGGUUAAGAAAGCUCACUGGGGCGGAUUAUGAGGUCAGGAGAUCAAGACCAUCCUGGCUAACACGAUGAAACCCUGUCUCUACUAAAAAAUACAAAAAAUUGCCAGGCGUGGUGGCGGGCGCCUAUAGUCCCAGCUACUUGGGAGGCUGAGGCAGGAGAAUGGUGUGAACCCAGGAGGUGGAGCUUGCAGUGAGCUGAGAUCACGCCACUGCACUCCAGCCUGGGCGACAGAGCGAGACUCUGUCUCAAAAAAAAAAAAAAAAAAAGAGGCCGAGGUGGGCAAAUCACGAGGUCAGGAGAUCGAGACCAUCCUGGCUAACACGGUGAAACCCCGUCUCUACUAAAAAAUACAAAAAAAUUAGCCAGGCGUGGUGGUGGCCGCCUGUAGUCCCAGCUACUUGGGAGGCUGAGGCAGGAGAAUGGCGUGAACCCGGGAGGCGGAGCUUGCAGUGAGCUGAGAUCGCACCACUGCACUUCAGCCUGGGUGACAGAGUGAGACUCUGUCAAAAAAAAAAAAAAAAAAAAAAAAGAAAGCUUACUGAAAUCAACUGUGUGGGGUGCUUUCUGAAAUGCGUUUCUUAUUUAGCCUUUCAGGUUGCCCAAGAGCAAAGAAAAGUGGUAUCAGGAUAGCACAGAGCAAAGAAGAUAAAGAAGAUCAAGAACCCAUCAGGUGUCCGGUCCCCGGGUGCGAUGGCCAGGGCCACAUCACUGGGAAGUACGCCUCCCAUCGCAGCGCCUCCGGGUGCCCCUUGGCGGCCAAGAGGCAGAAAGACGGGUACCUGAAUGGCUCCCAGUUCUCCUGGAAGUCGGUCAAGACGGAAGGCAUGUCCUGCCCCACCCCAGGGUGCGACGGCUCAGGCCACGUCAGCGGCAGCUUCCUCACACACCGCAGGAGCUGAGGCACCCAUGGGGAGCUGAGGACAAGGUGGCCGUGUGCAGCCCCUCUGGAGCACGGCGUCUGCAGGGACCCCUGGGUGCUGCCGACAACAGGGGUCCACCCUGGGACGGAACCAACUGGCAGGACCCCGGGGUCCUCUCGUCUACCUCUCACCCUACAAUGCAGGCCCCAGGCCCCCAGCCGGGCAGUGAGGCCCUGUGCAUACACUGGGGCAUAGGAAUGGGACAGGGCCACCCCCUGGGGGGCCACAGCUGUCACUCUGCGCUCACUCAGUGGCCUUGAAAGAAGCGCCUGAAGCAAGAGAACAUGGGUGACGGGGUUUCCCUGAAGUCAAGUCAAAGCAGCCAACGUGCACCAUGUCCAUCCUCAUUUUAUGCGCCUUUGUCUUGGCGUAGCCUCAGCAGCUGCUUUUGGCUGCGGCUUUUAAGCUGUGAAAGUAUUUGCUGGGAAUGUCCUUGGCUCCUCACGCGGCACCUCCUCCCCGUUAGGCUGGUUUCUCUGCUGGAUCUAAAACAGGAGGGAGGAAGCAUCGUGAGUGGCAUGGGGGGGCUUGAGCGGCUCCUCCUUCUCUCCUCUGGGGGUGCCCACCGGGGCCCAAAGCUUCUGGGAACCCGGCGGGGAGCUCUGCUCCUGAGCCAGGAAUUGCCAGGCACCACACAACUGCUAUCCGCGGGGCCUGUCCGGUUUCCCCAAGUGCUUCUGCUUCAUUCGCUAAUCCAUACAGCGUAGCUCAGAAUGAUCGCUUGCCUUGGGUCCCCAAACACUACCUGAGCUGGAAAGUGCUUGUGUGAUGUGUUAGUAAUGGAUAAUACAAAAUUUUUAACAUGGGA
rnacentral:sRNA from 1 species